GCUGGAGUACUGCAUCCAGUUUUGGGCUCCACAAUUCAAAAAGGAUGUGGAGAAGCUUGAGAGAGUCCAGAGAAGAGCCAUGCGCAUGAUCAGAGGUCAGGGAAGCAGACCCUACGAUGACAGGCUGAGAGCCCUGGGGCUCUUUAGCCUGGAAAAGCGCAGGCUCAGGGGUGAUCUGAUGGCCACCUACAAGUUUACCAGGGGUGACCACCAGUAUCUGGGUGAACGUUUGUUCACCAGAGCGCCCCAAGGGAUGACGAGGUCGAAUGGGAUGACGAUGUUUGUGACGAGGUCACAAACUACUACAAGAUCGUUUCAGGCUGGACAUAAGGAAGAAUUUCUUUACUGUCCGAGCCCCCAAGAUCUGGAACAGCCUGCCACCGGAGGUGGUUCAAGCGCCUUCAUUGAACACCUUCAAGACAAAACUGGAUGCUUAUCUUGCUGGGAUCCUAUGACCCCAGCUGACUUCCUGCCCUUUGGGCGGGGGGCUGGACUCGAUCUUCCGAGGUUCCUUCCAGCCCUAAUGUCUAUGAAAUCUAUGACAUUUCUAUGAAGUCGUAAAGGAAAGAUGUGCUCUUUAUAGAGGCUUAGGAAAUGCAAUGCAGUAGCAGUUAAAUCAUCAUCCAAUAAGCUUUUCACAGAUGUCACAUAGCUGGCAGAAGACUACUGUAAAAGACAUUUAAGCAAUGAUGUUUAAAAAAAAAACAAAAAACACCCCAAAUGCUUGAGCAAUGUUUGGCUUUGUCAACCACAUCAGUGUUUGCCAUUUCUAGCUCAAAUGCAACAACAAUGCUGAGACGUCUGCUUUAAAGGUGCUAAUUAUAGUUUUUUUGCUCCUCACAGUCUGGGUCCAGGGUCCCUGGACAGUAAGGUUACAGAAGAGUGCCACAGAACUGGAUGAGUAACAAUCACCUUACACUAUGAUGAAAUCUCCAGCUUUGUUAAAAGCAAACACAUACUUGGCUGGAUGCAAACCUGUUUCCUGCAUGCCAACUACUUUCAUGCUGUGAUUCAAGAUUCUCAUUUUGAGGAGCACAAAGCGCACAAUGUGAACUGAAGCACAAUCUGCACUACAACAUUAUAGCUGUAGAAGAUGGCGGCUCAUAAAAUGUUGCUAGGGGUGAGAUCAGAAACGCCAUGCUUUGACCCAGUGAAACAGCCCAUGCUAACAUAAUGCAGCAAAUUUAUCAGGUAAGUCCCAGUCAACAUCUUUAGGAACUAUUUGCAACACUUACCUCCCUC